rnacentral:rRNA from 1 species
GUGCCUACGGGACGCAGCAGUGAGGGAUAUUGGUCAAUGGGCGAGAGCCUGAACCAGCCAAGUCGCGUGAGGGAAGACGGUCCUAUGGAUUGUAAACCUCUUUUGCCGGGGAGCAAAAAGCGGUACGUGUACCGCAUCGAGAGUACCCGGAGAAAAAGCAUCGGCUCACUCCGUGCCAGCAGCCGCGGUAAUACGGAGGAUGCGCGCGUUAUCCGCUUUAUUGGUUUUAAAGGGUGCGCAGGCGGCGAGUUAAGUCAGCGGUAAAAUUUCGGGGCUCAACCCCGACGAGCCGUUGAAAC